UCAUCGAAUCUUUGAACGCACUGCACUAUCCGGACGACACCCCCGUGAUAGUAUGCCCCAUUGAGCGUUAUUUGUUCAUUCAGACAUCAAGGUGUUUGCUCACCAUGGUGGAUGAGUUCGAGGUCCACACCGCACUGUGCGUUCCUUGAGAUUUAUUAGCAACCAUGGUCUACCCAGUGCCCAUCCUGUGAUGAUUUUGCAGGCCAGAGCUCGGGUUUGGCUGGUGCUGACAGCUGCCUCUCACUGGCACAAUGGCCUCUGUGCCCACUCUUCGUACAUAACCUCAGUGGGGUAGGAUUACCCGCUAGACUUAAGCAUAUUAAUCAGCGGAGGACAAGAAACUAACAAGGAUUCCCUCAGUAACUGCGAGUGAAGAGGGAGUAGC
rnacentral:misc_RNA from 1 species